AAGAUGCUAGUAAAAUUGGCCCUUACGCUGUCUUGUCAAGACUGAGUUGUGGGUUAAAGCCCCACGCAUCUUG
rnacentral:tRNA from 1 species